rnacentral:rRNA from 1 species
GUGGGGAAUAUUGGACAAUGGGCGCAAGCCUGAUCCAGCCAUGCCGCGUGUGUGAAGAAGGCCUUUUGGUUGUAAAGCACUUUAAGCGAGGAGGAGGCUCCUUUAGUUAAUACCUAAAGUGAGUGGAUGUUACUCGCAGAAUAAGCACCGGCUAACUCUGUGCCAGCAGCCGCGGUAAUACAGAGGGUGCGAGCGUUAAUCGGAUUUACUGGGCGUAAAGCGUGCGUAGGCGGCUUUUUAAGUCGGAUGUGAAAUCCCUGAGCUUAACUUAGGAAGUGCAUUCGAUACUGGAAAGCUAGAGUAUGGGAGAGGAUGGUAGAAUUCCAGGUGUAGCGGUGAAAUGCGUAGAGAUCUGGAGGAAUACCGAUGGCGAAGGCAGCCAUCUGGCCUAAUACUGACACUGAGGUGCGAAAGCAUGGGGAGCAAACAGGAUUAGAAACCCGAGUAGUCC